rnacentral:rRNA from 1 species
GAUGAACGCUGGCGGCGUGCCUAAUACAUGCCAGUCGAGCGAAGCGGGGACGGGUGAGUAACACGUGGCUAACCCCCUAUAAGACUGGGAUUAAUUCGGGAAACCGGAGCUAAACCGGAUACUUAGAGGUGGAUUCUCGCUGCAUUAGCUAGUUGUUAGGGUAACGGCUUACCAAGGCAACGAUCCAUAGCCGACCUGAGAGGAUGAUCGGCCACACUGGAACUGAGACACGGUCCAGACUCCUACGAGAGGCAGCAGUAGGGAAUCUUCCUCAAUGGGCGAAAGCCUGACGCAGCAACGCCGCGUGAGUGAUGAAGGUCUUCGGAUCGUAAAACUCUGUUAGUAGGGAGGCGGUACCUAAUCAGAAAGCCACGGCUAACUGCGUGCCAGCAGCCGCGGUAAUUC